CCACAUAAACAAAGAAACAUCUGAAGCCCAAGGAAUCCAGCUGAGCCCCUUGGCUAUGAACAUGCAGAAAAUUAAAACACUACAUAAUUAAUGAACUACAGGCCCCCUCGCUUGAACAUUGAAAUUACUGUCAUUUGCUGUUGAGUUCUUACAUAGUAAAUUUAAUGAUGGAUACUCUUGACAUUAAAUAUACAGUGACCCAAUAGCCCUUGAGUUCAUUCAAAUUAAAAAAAAAAAACAAAACUGAAAUUCUAAACAACAAAAUCAUUGAUGGAGGUUAACUGGGAACUUAACAUCACUGAGAUUGAACUAAUCAAAAUCCAAAAUUAGUGUUACUUAUCCAAAUUGAAUCUAUACUAUGACAGUACAAACAUCCAAGGACUCGGUAGAAAUAGUUUAAACUAGGCUGGAACCAAAAUAACACAUGAAAGUCCAAAUACAACCCCAAUACAAAUUGUAAUGUCCAUGGCAUGAAUAAAUACAAUGAAUCAAGCAAUAGAACACAAUUUAAUGUAGAACAAGGAUAAGUUUUCAAUAACACAACUUGAUAUUCAAUAACUAAGGUUUACAUCUCCGACAUGCUUCAGAUUCAAGCUUCACAUCAAUAAAGUCCAAAGAUGUACCUGGAUAUCAAAGUAAACCAAAAGAGAAUGAAGAUUUUCAACAGUAGCAAUAGAUUGAAUAAAUCAGCAAGCCAAACACAACAAUAUUCAACCUCUCUUAGGCCAUUUGUAACCCAGACAUCAGAAAUUAUUUGAACUUUUGGAAAAUUCUGACUAACUAUGAAGAUCAAAAGCAGAACCAAAGCAAAUUUCAACCAAAAAAGUCCAGGAAAUGUUCAGUAUGUCGAGUAUUAAAAGUUGCCUAAAGAUGAAGGGGAAGAGGUAUUAUAUAGGCAUGCCUAUGGCAGCCCUAGUCCAACUUUACCAAUUCCCUUUCUACCCUUGAAUUCUUGGUUGUUUUACCCCCUUUACCCUUUUCAAAAUAUCUGAAACCCUCUGCCCUUAACAAACCAGCUCUCAUCUUAUCCUCUAGAACCUCCCCCCAACAGAAAAUGAUUCCCUUAAACCCCAAAUGCCCAAAACACCCCCUGACAUCCUUGUUUUUACGCUCAGCAGGCCAACCUGGGUCAAGUUAACCCAAGACCCCAAAUGAAUGGGCCUCUUAACCGGGUCAUCAAUGAACACAGUUAAUUCAAGAGUCCAAACCAUCACAAAUGAUCAAACAAAGAAAAUCAAAUUCAGAACAAGAAAAAGAAACAAUAAUUCAAAAUUUUACGAUUAAACCUAAUUUUAACUACCAACUAAGAUGGACUCCAUUAUUAAAGAAAACAAGACAAAAAAUGAAGUAAGUAAACAAAGAAUAGAAAUACUACAAUCAGCAGAGUUGAGGGAAAAGAGAGCGGAAAAUACCAAUUUACGCCAGAAUGUCUUGACAAAACGAAACGAAUCAUCGAACGAUGAUGAGAAUAGAUAUUUGGCCGGAAUCCGGUGAGUUCGUCAAAAUCCGGUGUUCUCAGAAUGGACUAAAACCAAUGCCAAUCGAUUGCUCUUGUUAAGAGCAAUCGACUAAUGUAGAUUAUAGGUCAAAUCGAGCCGGGACUUGUGCAGAAUUAGAAAAAAUAGAAUAAAUUAGUGUUUAAUUUCUAGAUUCGGAAUUGGGGGAAUUUCGUUGGGAUUUUUGAGAAAUAAAUGUGGGAAUAGGAUUUAGGAUGGCCUGGGGGUUGCGUGGUAUGAAUGUGGGGUGUUUGGAGCCCGCUGCCGGUGGAGAGGGUGGAGGAAUUUAGGACAGCGCUAGGGUUUCUGGGCUGAGGCGAUAAGAGACUGAAGGGGAGGGGUUUGUACUGGGGGUGUCCUAGAUUCCGACCUUUAAAUACAAAAGGGGUCCCCAGUUCCCAGCCCUUGGAUUAACUUAGAUCGAUGGCUAGGAUUGACCCAAGGAAACGGGGUCGUUUCGAUUGGAGAGGGGCUGGGCAAAUUCGGGUUGCUCCGAGUUGGGCCUGGAUUGGGGAAAUACUUUGGGCGGGUUUUCAACUGAACUGGCCCAAUUUCAGGGUUUUAUUCAAAUUCUCAAUUUCCUUUCUUUUUUUUUGUUUUCCUUUUAUAAUUGUUUUCUUUUCCUUUUCAAUCAAUUUAAACCUAAAUCAAACUCUUAAACUAAAUUAAUUUAACACAAUUAAGACAAUAAUCCACCAUAAUAAUUUUAAAAAUUAAUUACUCCUAAAUUAAAAAAAAAAAGAAAUUACUAAUUUAAAAUUAAAAGGCUAAAAAUGCAAAAGUAAACCAUUUUGGUGAUUUUCAUUUUUUAACAAAUUUUUUUUAUUAAUUAACCUAAAAAUGUAAAAAUAUCCCAAAUGCAAUGCGGGGUAUUUUUUUUUGUAUUUUUCAUGAUUUAAAUAAAACAAACAUGCAUAGAAAAGUGCAAACAAUUAACAAAAAUCCUACAAAAAAUUUGCGAAAUUGCAAAUAAUGGAAAAAAAAAUUAUUUUCUUGAAUUAAUGGGAGUAAUUCAUAUAGGAAAAAAAUCACGUGCUCACAGCUGCCCCUCUUUACUCGAAAACACGAAGAGUUUUCAUUCAAAGAUAAAGUGAGCGGAUACGAUUGAUUUUUGCCCCUUUGAAUACUCCCUGGGAAGCAUUUUUUGAAAAAUUUGACCGCACCUUGCUUCCGAGGUUGCCUACAUAUCCUUGGCUAUAAAAGAAUCAGGUCAGUGUAGUUCGGGAGGUUUCGGUAGCUGGGACUACCAGGAAGUUGUGAUUUCACUGUUGAUGUUGCUGCUACUGCUUGCUGAACCCCUUAUUACACCAGGACAAAAUACAAGAAGCUAGACUAAACUAUGAUUUAUGAAUUACAAGAAUCCUAUCUAUAUCUUCAAACUUGAUCUUGCAGCAUCUGCUGCUCCGUUGACUCGUACUCUCCAGGUGAACUUCCUUUGUUGCUGACUUGAAUUGUGUUAUGAGGUGAAUUCCUUUAUUAUCUAGGCGGGCACCUGAUUGCUGAACCGGAACCAUCUUCCUUCGAUCAUUGCCGCUUUUCUUUUGUUCUUCAGGUGGCGCCUGAUUAUCAUUAUUUGAAUUAUCUUCCUUUCCUACGAGACUCGACUUGUUUUCCCUCUGAAACUUGAAUUGUUUUCCCUUUGCUCUAUAGGUGGGCGCCUGAUUACCAAUAUAUGCACUGUUUUCCCUUGAGACUUGGCAUGUUUCCCUUUGUUCUCUAGGUGGGCUCCUGAUUUCAACACUUGAACUGCUCUUCCUUUGUUCUCCAGGCGGGCUCCUGAUUUUCAACACUUGAACUGUCUUCCCUUUGUUCUCCAGGUGGGCGCUUGAUAACUAACAUUUGAAUGGCUUUCCCUUUGUUCUCCAUGUUGGCUCCUGAUUUCCAAUACUUGAACGGCCUUCCCUUUGUUUUCCAGGUGAGUGCCUAAUUUCCACAACUUGAAAUGCCCUCACUUUGUUCUCCAGGUGGGUGCCUGAUUUUCACAACUUGAACUGCCUUCCCUUUAUUCUCCAAGUGGGUGCCUGAUUUCCACAACUUGAACUGCCUUCCCUUUGUUCUCCAGGUGGGUGCCUAAUUUCCAAAAACUUGAACUGUCUUCCCUUUGUUCUCCAGGUAGGUGCCUGAUUUCCAACUCGAAUUGACUCCUCUGAAACUGCUACUUUCUUUGAACUGUCCUCCCUUAUUUCUCUAGGUGGGUGCCUAAUUGCUUGGAUCUGAACUGCUUUCCAUCUUUGAAACUCAUGUUGUUCUCCCUUGCUCUCCAGAUGGGCGCCUUAUUACAACAAAAUAGAUAAAACAAAUAAAAUUUCCUGCCCCAGUUUGGUAGCUGGACACAUCGGUGAGUGUUAAUUGAAUCAUGUUGCCAAAUAUCUCUAAGAAUUUGAAAGCUAGAUCCCAUUAUCCAGGAGGAUCCUGAAAAUUAAAAUCAAAUCUCAUCUUAAGAGUGACAACUUUAAGGCUAAAUUAUAUUUUCCUACGGUAGAACUUACGCUAAAUCUUGUUAUCUAAUGGAGGUCUUAAAGCUAAGUUCCAUUAUUCAUGAGAGUCUUAAAAAUUUCGAAUUGAAUCCUAUCCUAAGAAUGAAAACUUCAAAGCCAACUUAUAUUUCCUCAAGGUAAAGCUUAUGCUAGAUCUUGUUACUCAUGAAUGUUUUGAAUUUUAAACUAGAUCCCAUUGUCCAGAAGGGUCCCGAGAACUUCAAAUUAAAUUCCAUUAUCCAGGCGGGUCCUGAGAAUUUACGAUCGAACCUGUCCGGUACAUUGCUUUCUUUAUGGAAGGUUUCUCCGAAACAAAUGGAAUUUUCUGCCCCUAUUUCAAAUCAACGAAAAAUCUUGUCAGUUUAAAAAUAUGGUGGUUAGUUUGUGGCAUUCUUGUUGAAGGUGGCCUCUUCGGUGUCGCGCUUUGCUUUGACUGGUUGCCUUGAACUGGCCAAGAACCGUUUGACUUUCUGACUGAUUCUCAACCGCAGGACCUUGGAUGACCCGAGUGCUCUACACUCAAACCGUUGUUUUACAUUUCUAACCCUUCUACCUUAACCUCUGUAUUUCACAUAAGAUUACUAAACCAUUCGACCAAUGGAACUUUCACUGACACCUUAUUUCCCACUUUACAUCAUGCUAUCUCUGGUAUGCUUUGGCCGCACUUUGCUUUGUGCAAUUUUGGAAGUUGGUAGUAAGCUUUAAAAUCUCUUCUCACUUGCUCAAACAAAACUGACAUUGGAAAAAUCUCAGAGAAAUAAACCCCAAAGAAAUGAAAUGCAAUGACUUCGAGAGUUAGGAAUAGAGAAGAAAAUCCAAAACUGGAUGACUGUUUAUAGGAGGAAAAAGAAAAAAAGACUUAUCUGAGCGGAACGGCUGGUACCAAUGAUCAUGACAUGCAUUUUGGAUUAAUCAUCCCAGCCUAUUCAAUCAAUCACCUUUUAGUUGUCAUAUUAUAUGCCCUAGGAUUUCCAUAACCCGAUUUCUUAGCCGAAUCACUGACCUUGUUCGGUUCGCGGUGCCCUGAAAGGUUUACACCAACAAACCUCUAUCAUUUAAUCAUCUCUCAACUCACCGUCGCCUUACGGUGCCCGUGAGUGUUUUCACCAAUAAGACUCUCUCAUUUUUUUCAUUUUUCCUGCUUAGACCGGAGUGCUUCCCCUGAUAUGAAUCAUCUGUGCUUACUCAACUUGGAAUCUCUCGAAGACUAAUUGGAAGGUCUUUCUUUGGACUAUAAUGUGAAAUUUUGGAUAGGGUUAGAAAGAAAGGAUAUCAAAAGGCUCAAAACAACUUGAAUGGGUUUAAAAAUUACAACUCUUGGAAUCAGAUUUCUUACAAUAACCACAACUUUCUGCCCCAGUUUCUUUGCUUGGGGACUUCUAGAUUUCUAUUUUGAUGGGACUGAACCAUGAGGCUGCCUACGUAUCCUUAAAAGGAAUCAGCUCGAACGUAGUUCAUGUCAUAGGAAUUACUUUGUUGUUGUGAUUAUUCUCUUUUCUUUUUCUUUCUCUCUUUUCCUUUUCUUUCCUUUUCUUCUUUUUUCUUUUCUUUUCUCCUUUUUCACUAUUUUCCAUUUUUUUCUUUCUCUUUUCUCUUUUCUUUUCUCUUUUUCUUCUUUACUCACCUUUUGCGCUCGUAUUUUCGAACUUUGCUACUGAUUCCAAAAGAGGGGUAUGAAAGGAAAUAAAUAAAGCUCAAAGGAGUAACAAAGGAUAAAGUGUUUAGAUAGCAUAACAAAAUGCCUUCGUCAUUCCAAUCUUCAAAACAUGGCAAGUACAAACAAAACAAUUUAAACCAAAGAAAUCAUACAUAAUAUCUUUUGACCGCAUCAGAAUUGAUAGCUAUAUCUACACAUUUGCCUUCUAUAUCUGUCAAAUAUAAAGCACCAUUGGACAAUACUCUCGUUAUGAUGAACGACCCCUACCAAUUUUGGGCGAACUUGCCUUUUGCUUCAGACUGAUGCGGAAGGAUGUGUUUUAAUACUUGCUGACCCACUUCAAAUUUCUGGGUAUGCUCCUUCUUGUUGUAUGCUCUUGCCAUUCUCUUUUGAUACAUCUGGCCAUGGCAUACUGCUAGCAAUCGUUUCUCAUCAAUCAAACUCAAUUACUCCAGAUGAGUUUUGACCCACUCAUUAUCAUCAAUUUUGGCUUCAGCGAUAAUCUGAAGUGAUGGAAUUUCAACUUCUGCGGGUAUCCCCGCUUUUGUGCCGUAUACCAACAAAUAAGGAGUUGCACCUAUUGAAGUACGCACAGUAGUGCGAUAGCCCAAUAAUGCAAAGGGCAACUUCUCAUGCCAUUGCCUGGAACCUUGCACCAUUUUCUGAAGUAUCUUCAUUAUGUUUUUGUUGGCUGGCUCGACUGCUCCGUUCGCCUUGGGGCGGUAUGGGGGUGGAAUUGCGAUGUGUAAUCUUGACGUUCUAAACGUCAAUACCACACAAAAGGGGGGAUAAUUUGUGUGGUACCCAAUUUUCUCUCUAGAAGAACCUGGUUCUUCUAGGUGUUCUAACUACUACUGUUUGCGGAAUAAAAAAUACAUAAAAUAAAGAACACAGAGAUUUUUACGUGGAAAAUACCUGGCUCAAAAGGUGAGAAAACCACGACCUACUACUCAGUAGGAUUUUCCCAAACUUCCACUAAAAUUACUGAGCCAAAAUAGCAUUUACAAAAACUCUUUAUAAACCUAAGGAUUAACUCUAAUCCCGUUGUGGCACAGCGCCUCAACUGUUGCGACGACUUUAAGUUAGAUUAUAACUUGAACACUCAAAUUACCUAAUACAAUUGCUUCUAUGAAAGCUGAAAGAUACAACUUUAAACCACCUACUACAAUUGAACUAGAAUAAUAAAAAAACAUAAUGGAACCGGUUCUUCUAUCUUGUUCAAGUAGCUUCAGGAGUGCACACUUAAAUUUCACAUAAAUUGCUUGCAAAAUCGCCUUGCUCUUUUGCUUUUAAUUUAGUUUAACUUCUACGUUUGUGCAAUGUCUAUAAAAGAGAAAAUCACUGUCAUUUAAUAGGUUAGAAAUCAGAGUUUGAUUGAGACUCAAUUUCUGAUCUUCUAUCGUAGUUGAGUCCUUGAAGAUAUCAAACUCUAACACUCUCUUUAUCCGGAUUGUGUUCUCUUCACAUAAGGAGACUUUCUCACCUUAUCCAAUAUGCAACCUUUUCGAUCAGAUCAGGAGAUAUUGCUGCUUGAUUAGUAGGACUUAUCUCCUUCACGUGCAUCUCACAUGUGUAGGUUGAUCAUGACAGUGCUUCACAAGAUGGACCUGGUCCAUGACUGAGUUCAUUUAUCAUUCUUUAAAACUUUACCUAUUCUUGUGCCAACAAAUUCCCUCUUUUUGAUGAUGACAAACUCUGUGCUUUUUACUGAUCAAAAAACCUAUAAGAACUCAGCUUAACCAUCAACACUAAACUUAGAAAAUUUUCUUUUCAUCAAGGACCAGGUUAAUUAGGUUAUAAAUAUCACUUAUUUCAGAAUAAUGUGUAAAACACAAUAUCUCUUCCCCCUUUUGGAAUCAUCGAAAAGUUGCAUACACAAUGUGAAUUCCAGAUUUUAAUAAGUACUCAUGGGCACUGGGAAACUGCAAGUGCAAUCAUGGUGCAAUCAUGGUGCAAUCAUCAGUAAUCAAACAAACAUAUUUAAACUAUCAAGGUCAGAAUAAUCAUUGAACAAGAGAAAACAUCAGUUGUCAUUGAUACAUAUAUGUUUCCACUAACAAUCCAAAAAAAAAAGAAAAACAUCCAAACCAUGAGCAAAAAACAGAAAAAUCCCUAAUCUGGGUCACUGGGGGGGGGGGGGUUACUAGAAUUAGUUCAGGAGACAGAAACUAGGAGUCCUAAGGCUUGGAGGGUUGAUUUUGGAGAAGAUUCAGCAAGUUAAAUUCCAUCAUUCUUCUCCUGUUCUGUUGCAAGCUUCUGAGACCAUCCCUCUCAGCUUCCACUUCAACCACACGAACCUUGAGCCUAGCAAUUUCAGCAUCCUUAGCUGCACAUUCCUGAACAAAAGUCCUAACCUUGCUGUUGAUGGGUGUCCUCAAGGAUGAACCAGGUUCAACUAGGAUGGCAUUGACUGGAUAGUCACAAGAAGAAGAGUUUUGAUACCAAAGUAUUCUUUGCUCGAGGUCAUUUCCCAUUUUUUCAUAGGCACAUUGAGCCUGUCCAGAAAUGUACUUAGUAUGAAGCCAUAUGGGGUAGCAUGAGCCUUGGAACCAUUUAUAACCCUGUCUAGCAGUUUGACUAUGAGGGCAUGCCAGUUGAUUUGCUUUCCUCUCUCCAGGCAUUCCAUAAGAACCAGAUCCAUGUAGUUGGCAGUGUUCUUUCUCCUGUCUUGGCAAUAAGCACUUGAUGACAAACUCAAACACCACCUUGUGCUGAGGCCUCAUCUCACUUUUCUGCACAGCUUUGGCUUCAUUCACAUUCUCUGAAUCACAGAACCUUUUGGUGAUUUCAAGGGCAGUGGGGAGGGAGUCCAGGCAUAGCCACCUUUGCCUAGUAUAAUCAUCAAACCCUUUAUAGGAUAUGUCCAGAAUCUCUCCCAAUUUCACAGCAUCAAAUUGCACUUGAACUGCCUUCACCUGGCUACUGACAACUCCAUCCUUAACAAUAUCAUUUGCCAUAAAUUCAAUCAACUCAUUUCUAGCUAGCCUACCUUCCAUCUAAAGGACCAUGUCCUUCUAUCCCUGAGCAGCCAAAGAGUCUACCAAUUUCAUCAUUCCUGGUUCCACCAGGUCCUUCAACAGUCUACCCUUUAAAAUCUUUCUUCUGCCAAAAAUGGCAAGCUUGUCCUGUUCCUUUUCAGAAUCAUUUUCUUCUUCUUCUUUACUCCAAUCACCAUCAUCAGAAACUUUGGUUUGUUUAGCUUUCACUACAGAUCUUGUCCUCUUAGCUAGUGUGGGUUCAACAACUACAGGCACAGAGGAGGAUGUCUUGGACGAAGUCUUUGGUUUCUUAGGCUUGGGUGUAGGAACCUCCACUGUUGUACUCCUCUCUCGAUGGACCAGUUCCAUCUCUUCUUCCUCAACAGCCUCUGAGUAUUCUGCAACCUUUCCAUUUCCCUUAUCCUUUUUCCUUUUAUUGCUUUCUUCUAAAGCCUUUUGUAGAUCAGCUUCACUCUGUUUUACCUUGCUUCUUGUGGCUCUACCCCUAGGCACUAAAGAGGCAGUAGGUGUUGGGAAUGUGACUUUUCUUUUCUUGGAUGGCUUGGGAACAUUUGAGGCUUUUGGUGUAGUAGCUUUGCAUUUCUUUGGGUCAUAACUUGCCCCAACCUUUUUCAGUAGGUCAGUCAAGGUUUCUUCAAUAGAUGAAACAUGUUCAUCUCUUUGUUUGCUUAGAUGAACCAACUCUCAGCUGCUUCCCCAGAACCACUUCUCCCUGACUUCAUGCCAUUCUCAUCUAACCUAUCUUGUGCAACCCUACAUAUAGAAAGAAUUGCUCCCUUCCUUUUACCUCUCUCUUCACCACAUGUACCCUCUCUCUCUUUUUCUUUUUCAGACUUCUUUUUACCUCCACUCCUACUCAUCUCAGGCAAAUCAACAUCCCUAAUGGGUCCAACCAGAACAAACCUAGUUUCUAAGUUUUCAACCACAGAAGAACUUACCUCAGAAGGAGAUUCUUGAGGCUUUUUAGAGUCAGAAGACCCAUGUCCAUCUCCCUCGGUCAUGGAUUGAAAGGAUUCAUACUCAGAGCUAGAAUCGGACUUCGGAGCUGGGCUUUCUUUCACUUGGCUAGCUUUCAACCUUUCAUUUAAAACCUUCCUCAGAGCCCCAGAUGCUACCGUUUUUUGAGCAAGCAUUUUCUACCUUCGAAACCUAUGUUUUGGAGAUACACUGGUGGAGUAGAUGAGGAUAAACUUGAGGGAGAUGAUGGUAGAGGAGUGCCAGGGUGAUCUUGUGGGUUAGACAUGAUUCUUCGUUUCUUGAGAGAACUUGGGAAUUUUGGAGAAGAAGGCAAUUAGAAUUGAAGAGGAAUUUGUGAUGGUUUUAGAAUUAUGAAGAAGACUGGAGAUGCGGUGUGUAUUUUAAGCGGAUUAGACAUUAAAUAAGUAACGACAGCUUUUUCAGGGGUCAAAUAGAAGUCUAAUCAAAUUGAAAUUCCAGAAUUUUAAUGAUAGAUUUGGCUUCCCUAGAUAUUAGGAAGAAACCCCGGUUUAGAGUUCUAGAUGGACAGAACUAGUUCAAUGUUUAACGGAUAGAAUUUUCUAGGAAUUUGACAAGUAUAGGAAUUCUGCUCAUAAUUGAAUUAUUAAUCUUUCUAAUUGUACAGAGUAUAGAAAACAUACCUGAGCUUUCAUAUGAACCCAAACUGAUGAACUAGGUUCUUCAUAUAGAACUCUCUUGAACAUGCUUCAAAUGCCAUAAUAGAGAAAAUGUUAUAAGAGAUCAGUGCAUCAUAUAUGCACAUGUCACAGGAGUAUACUAAUUAAAGUAUGAAACUGAGUAAGAAUUAAUCUAGAUAUUUACACAAGGUUAGAAAUCCUAGCCAAAUUUGUUUUUCAUUUUUUUGUGCAUUCUGAGCUGGAUCUAUUAGGUGAUCUUAAUCAUCACUAAUUCCAACCUAUUCCUCUCAAAGUUUUCUCUACUCAGUGCUUUAAUGAAGAUGUCAGCAAUUUGCUUAUCAGUAGUACAGAAUUCUAUGGAGAUCAAACCUUUCUCAUAGUUGUCUCUUAAGAAAUGGUGCAUAACAUCUAUAUGCUUAGUCCUCUUAUGAUGAACAUGGUUCUUUGUCAUACUUAUAGCACUAGUGUUAUCACAGAAUAUAGGAAUGCAACCAACUUCAAUGCCAAAGUCUACUAGCUGCUAUUUGAUCCAUAGUAAUUGAGCACAACAAGAGGCAGAAGCAACAUAAUCAGCUUCAGCAGUAGAUAAGGCCACUGAAUUUUGUUUUUUAGUAUCCCAUGAAACUAGACAUGAACCAAGGAAGUGUGCCAUACCUGAGGUGCUCUUCCUAUCCACUAGGAAACCUGUAUAAUCAGCCUCAACAUAUCCUACUAGGUUGAAAUUACUACCUUUGGGGUACCAAAGACACGACACAAAUCAGUGGUGCCUUUCAGAUAUCUUAGUAUCCUCUUGACAUCAGUCAAGUGAGACUCUUUUGGAUUUGCCUGAAAACGAGCACAAAGCCCUACACUGAAAGUAAUGUCAGGUCUGCUGGCAGUAAGAUACAAGAGUGAACCAAUAAUACCCCUAUACAACUUUUGAUCAAUUGAUGAACCAGGUUCAUUAAUGUCUAAUUUAGUGGCAGUUGCAAUGGGUGUGUCUAUUUCUUUUUAUUCUUCCAUUUUAAACUUUUUGAUAAGCUCUUUUGCAUACUUCUGCUGAUGGAUCAUGGUUCCAUUAGGACUUUGUUUGAUCUGCAAGCUUAAGAAGAAGUUAAGCUCACCCAUCAUACUCAUUUCAAACUCACUCCCCAUUAAUUUUGCAAAGUCCUUACUUAGCUUAUCAGUGGUGGCCCCAAAGAUUAUGUCAUCAACAUAUAUUUGUACCACAAGGACAUCCUUACCUUUUUUCCCUUAAGAAUAAGGUACUGUAAAUUUUCCCUCUUUUGUAACCAUGCUCUAGUAGCAAUUUGGACAGUCGUUCAUACCAUGCUCUUGGGGCCUGCUUGAGUCCAUAAAGAGCCUUGUCUAACUUAUACACAUGCUCAGGACAUUCUUUUCUCUCAAACCCUGGUGGUUAUUUUACAAACACUUCUUCUUUUAGGUAGCCAUUCAAGAAGGCACUUUUGACAUCCAUCUGGUGAAGAGUGAAUUCAAUGUGUGCUUCAAAGGCUAUGAGGAGUGUGAUUGCCUCUAGUCUUGCAACUGGAGCAAAAGUAUCAUCAUAACCUAUGCCUUCCUCUUGACUGUAACCUUGGACCACCAGUCUUGCCUUGUUUCUUAUAACUGUUCCAUCUUUAUCAAGUUUGUUUCUGAAGACCCAUUUUGUACCAAUAACUGAUCUGUCCUUGGGUCUUGGAACUAGAUGCCAAACUUGACUUCUCUCAAACUGAUUGAGUUCAUCUUGUAUUGCAUUCACCCAAGCUGCAUCCUGCAAAGUCUCAACAACAUUUUUAUGUUCAAUAAGAGAUAAAAAGGCAUCAAAGCACACAGAUUCUUUAAUUGUGAUCUAGUUUAAUCUUCAGAUGUUGGAUUAGUGAUAAUGUUCUCAAUAGGAUGAGAGCUUUGAUACUUGUGAGGUUUUACAACCAACUGAUUUCUGCUAGAUGUUUCUUCUAUAUUCUGUUGCUGAGGAACAGGGUCAUGAACAAGUUCUUUUAGGGGAUUUAUUUCAAUUCCUCUUUGAUAAGUUCCCCCUGUCAGGUUUCCCUAGAUGGAAGAACAUGUUCCAUCAACUGUUCCUUCUUUUGGUGCCACUUUAACUUGUGCUGAGGCUUCAGUCAAAUCCUUUACCAAUCCAGUGUCUUCAUCUUCAUGUUCUUGUCUCUCAGAAAGAAUGUUAGUUUCAUCAAAUAAUACAUGUACACUUUCUUAUACACAUAAAGUUCUUUUAUUGAACACUUUAUAUGCUUUGCUAUGUCAAGAAUAUCCCAAGAAUACUCCCCUAUCACUUCUGGGAUCGAACUUACCUAGGGAGUCUUUUCCAUUAUUAUGCACAAAGCACUUGCAUCCAAAUGCCCUAAGAUGGGGUAUAUUUGGUUUUCUCCCUUUAAGUAACUCAUAGGGAGUCUUCUCUACAAGAGGUCUAGUCAUGCAUCUAUUAAUAAUGUAACAUGCAGUGUUUACAGCCUCUGCCCAGAAGCUAUGGGGCAGUUUACUAGAAAGAAGCAUAGUCCUAGCCAUGUCUUCAAGAGUCAUGUUCUUUGUUUUAACUACUCCAUUUUGUUGUGGAGUCCUAGGGGCAGAGAAGUUAUGAACUAUACCAUUUUUAUCAUAAAAUUCAACAAACUUAGCAUUUUCAAAUUCAGUUCUGUGAUUAGACCUAAUUGAUGCAAGUUGAUUUCCUAAUUGUCUGAGUUUUCUAACAAAGGCAGUAAACAUAUCAAAUGCUUCAUCUUUAGAUGUUAGAAAUGGUACCCAGGUAAAUCUAGAAUAAUCAUCAAUAAGUACCAUUACAUAUUUCUUUCCUCCUCUGCUCAUGGUUAUCAUUGGACCACAGAGAUCCAUAUAGACCAGUUCCAAUGACUUGGUUGUACUUACCAUUUUUCUUGCUUUUGAAAGAUGAUCUUACCUGCUUUCGCGUUGCACAGGCCUCACAAACUUUGUCUUCUUUGAACUUGAUGUUGGGUAAACUUAUCACCAAGUCCUUAGAAACUAAUUUGUUUAGCUGAUUCAGACUGGAAUGACCAAGUCUUUUGUGCUACAGGAGGGGAUCAUUAUCCAGCACACUUAGGCAUGUUAGUUCAUUAUCUGAGAGAGUAGACAAAUCUACAAUGUAAAGAUUGUAAACUCGUUUUCCCUGCAAAACAAUCUUGUCAGUGGUAAGGUUAAUCACAAAGCAUUUAGUAGAGGUGAAUGCUACAAGGUUACCUCUGUCACAUAGUUGUGACAUACUGAUCAAGUUGUAUUUCAAGCCAUCUAUCAAGUAGACAUUCUCAAUGAAGUGAGAGUCUGUCUUACCUACCUUUCCAACCCCAAUGAUCUCACCUUUCUUACCAUUUCAAAAGGAGACAUUGCCUCCCCUUAAGUCCUCAAGUGAAAGGAACUGGUUCUUGCUUCCAGUCAUAUGUUUUGAGCAACCACUAUCCAUGUACCAUAUUUGGCUGCUUCCCUUCACUUGGACCUGCAAAAAUAAAUCAGGGGUUAGUCUUAGGAAGCCAAACUAGUUUGGGUCCCUUUCUAUAGGCAAAGGGAUAAAUCAGAUUUCUUAUAGCCCACUCAAGCAGCCUAUGUUUUUCUUGAACAAAAGUUUUGUUCUUUUGACUGGCCUUUUCUUUUGCAUUACAAUCAUUUUUGUAAUGGCCAGUCUUGCCAUUGUGUGUGCAAAUUUUGUUCUCAGGAAAAUUGAGGUACUUGCUUUUAGGAUCCCAUUUAGGUGCUUGAGUCCCAUAACCAAGUCCUCUUUUGUUGCUACUAUGAUGUUCUUGUAGCCAGGAGAGUGCAUCAGAAGCCUUGUUCCAUUUAUAUGUUCUGUCUAGUUCAUGUUUUACCUUCCCUAGAUCUUCUUUUAAUACUCUUAUCUGCUCAUCUUUCCUGUACAACUCAUCCUUAAUUUUUCCUAAGUUUUCUUCUAGGGUGAGAUGUGUAUGAUAAGCUUUCUUCUUUCCUGUCCCUCGUUUCAGUUUUAAGUUCUCAGACCUAAGUUCUAGGAUACUAGUGUCAAGUUCAAGAACCUGGUUCUUUAACUCAGUAUUUUCACUUUCACUCUCAUUAGCCCUAGACUCUAGAUUUUUGCACUUGGCUUUUAGGAUCAUACAUUCCCUAGACAAUUCUUCCUUCUCAUUGUUAAUUAUCUCAGACUCAUCAAUGAAGUCUAGCAGUAGCUCAGACAACCUUUCUUUAGACAGGAAUUUAAUCUUGUCUUUGAGAUGAAGAAUACUUACCUCUUGUUCAUCAUCUGAUUCUCCGAUGGCCAUAACUGCUGGUUCAUCUCCAGCUUCAUCUUCUGAGUCCUCAUCUGAUGUUCUCCCCAGUCAGCAACCAUAGCCUUUGUUGAUCCUUUGUUCCUUUUUGGUUGAACCUGUUCCUUCUUCCUGUUCCUUCGUUCAGCCCUUUAGUUCUUCCACUCAAUUUCCCAUUGAGGGCAAUUCUUGAUUAUGUGAUCAGUCUUACCACACUUGUAGCAACCCUUAUUGGUCUGUUUCUCAGGAGCCCUUGGUUUGUUGAAGGUUGUACCUCUUGAAGAACUCUUUUCUCUCAUCAGGUACUUUUUGAAAUCUCUUGUGAUCAUAGCCAUUUCAUCAUCCUCCAGACCCGAACCUUCAGCAAUUCUGAGAGCCAGAUUUAUUUCCUUCUUUGGUGCAUUCAUUUUCAUGGUUUGCCUUUUCAGUUCAUAGGUAGUAAGGUUUCCAAUUAGUUCAUCCAGCUUGAGGGUAGCACCAUUCUUUGAUUGCUGAAUAACAAUGAUUUUGCUUUCCCAAGAGACUGGCAGAACCCUUGUCAAAAUCUUCUCAACUUUGUCUUCUUCAAGACUAAUCCUUCCAAGAGACUUAAGUUCUUUUGUAAGUGUGGUGAACCUUGUAUACAUCUCUUGGAUGGUUUCUCCUUCCUUCAUGGUGAAAUUCUCAUACUGAGAAUACAUCAGUGUUCCUCUGGACCUCUUUACUUGAGGUGUUCCUUCAUGAGCCACUUGCAAAGUAUCCUAGAUUUCCUUAGCAGUGGUACAACUUUGAAUUCUACUAUAUUCAUCUGGACCUAGUCCACACACAAGCUAUUUCUUCGCCUUGGCAUUCUUCUCCCACUUCUUCAGGUUUUCAGCAGUGCAGUGAGCUCUUGUCUUUGGCAUAUCCACUCCUUCAGCAUUCUUCUUAGUAGUUGCUAGAGGACCAUCACUGACUAUAUCCCAUAGUUCAUAGUCUUCUCCUAUGAUGUGAUCCCUCAUGUUUUUCCACCAAGAAUAAUACUGACCAUUAAAAAGUGAAGGCCUAGCAGUGGAUUGCCCUUCCCAAUUCCCAGGUGUUGCACUCAUGUUGAUCUUUUCUUAAGGUGUUAUCCUCUUCAAGGAUAACCCGCUCUGAUACCAAUUGAUGUUCUAAACAUCAAUACCACACAAGAAUGGGGGUGAUUUGUGUGGUACCCAAUUUUCGCUCUAGAAGAACCUGAUUCUUCUAGGUGUUCUAACUACUACUGUUUGCGGAAUAAAAAGUACAUAAAAUAAAGAACACACAGAUUUUUACGUGGAAAAUACCUGGCUCAAAAGGUGAAAAAACCAUGACCUAUUAUGCAUUAGGAUUUUCCCAAACUUCCACUAAAAUCACUGAGCCAAAACAACAUUUACAAAAACUCCUUGUAAUCCUAAAGAUUAACNNNNNNNNNNNNNNNNNNNNNNNNNNNNNNNNNNNNNNNNNCAAUUGAACUAGAAUAAGAAAAAAACACAAUGGAACUGGUUCUUCUAUCUCGUUCAAGUAGCUUCAGUAGUGCACACUUAAAUCUCACAUAAAUUGCAUGCAAAAUUGCCUUACUCUUUUGCUUUCAAUUUAGUUUAACUUCUGCAUUUGUGUAAUGCUUGUAAAAGAGAACAAUCACUGUCAUUUAAUAGGUUAGAAAUCAGAGUUUGAUUGGGACUCAAUUUAUGAUCUUCUAUCAUAGUUGAGUCCUUGAAGAUAUUAAACGCUAACACUCUCUUUAUCCGGAUUGUGUUCUCUUCAUAUAAGAGACUUUCUCCUCUUAUCCAAUAUGCAACCUUUUCGAUCAGAUCAGGAGAUAUUGUUGCUUGAUCAGUAGGACUUAUCUCCUUCACGUGUAUCUCACAUGUGUAGGUUGAUCAUGACAAUGCUUCACAAGAUGGACCUGGUCCAUGACUGAGUUCAUUUGUCAUUCUUCAAAACUUUACCUAUUCUUGGGCCAACAAAUCUUAAGCUGUUGACAUACUUCCUUCAUCAGAUGAAUGUUAAGAUUAGAACCAUUAUCUGUGAUGAUUAACUUUGGGAUUCCGAAUCGACAAAUGAUAUUUGAAUGAACAAAAUCAACCACUGCCUUCUUUGUCACAGAUUUGAAAGUUUUAGCUUAAACCCACUUAGUGAAAUAGUCAAUGGCUACCAGAAUGAACCUGUGUCCAUUGGAUGCUACUGGUUCAAUUGAUUUGAUGACAUACAUACCCCAAGCAACAAAGGGCUAUGGUGCAGACAUUGUGUGCAAUUCAGAUGGCGGAGAAUGAAUCAAAUCUCCGUGUACUUGACAUUAAUGACACUUGCGCACAAAACUAAUACAAUAUCGCUCCAUGGUGAGCCAAUAAUAACCUGCUCGGAGAAUUUUCUUUGCCAAAACAUACCCACUCAUGUGCGGUUCGCAGACUCCGGAAUGCACUUCGGUCAUUAUAGCCGUGGCAUGUCUAGAAUCUAUGCAUCUUAACAAUCCAAGAUCUGGAGUCCUUUUGUACAAAACUCCUCCACUAAAGAAAAAUUCACUUGCCAAACGACGAAUUGUUCUCUUUUGAUCACCUACGGCUUCUACUGGAUACAUCCCCAUCCUGAUAUACUCCCCGAUGUCAUGGAACCAUGGUUCACCAUCAAGUUCCUCCUCAAUCAUAUUGUAGUAGGCAUGCUGAUCACAAAAUUGAAUAUGCAGAGGGUCAACAUAAGCUUUGUCCAGAUGGUGCAACAUUGACGCCAAGGUAGCCAAGGCAUCAACAUCCUCAUUAUGGAUCCUUAGAAUGUGCCUGAAUUCUAUAGAUUGAAACCAUUGACAAAGAUCAUGCAAACAUUGUCAAUAUGGUAUAAGUUUUAAAUCCCGCGUCUCCUAUUCUCCUUGAAUCUAGUGCACCAGAAGGUCCGAGUCUCCCAUGACCAAGACUUCCUGGAUUCCCAUACCUACAACCAUCCUUAGUUAAAGAAUGCAUGCCUUGUACUGAGCCAUGUUGUUGGUAUAGUAGAAUCACAGUUGGGUUGUAACAGGGUAGUGAUGCCCUGUUUCAGAAAUGAGUACAGCUCAUAUCCCAAUGCCUUUCAUGUUAGCAGUCCCAUCAAAGAAGAGUUUCCAACUGGGCUUUUCCUCCUUCUCGACCUCGUCAAUGUGCAUUACCUCUUCAUCAGGAAAAUAAGUCUUCAAAGGUUCAUAUUCCUCGUCCACCUGGUUCUCAGCCAAGUGAUCGGCCAAAGCUUGGGAUUUCAUUAUCGUCCGAGUCACAUAUACGAUAUCAAACUCUGUGAGCAAGAUUUGCCACUUUACGAGCCUUCCUGUGUGCAUGGGCCUCUAAAAAAUAUACUUCCAGGGAUCCAGGCGAGAGAUGAGGUAAGUAGUGUAGGACGACAAGUAAUGCUUCAACUUCUCUGCUACCCAAGUUAAGGCAUAGCACGUCCUCUCAAGGGGAGUAUGGUUAACCUCAUAAGAUGUGAAUUUCUUGCUGAGAUAGUAGAUGGCUUGCUCUUUCCUGCUAGUGAUGUCAUGCUGACCCAAUACACAACCAAAUGAGUUAUCCAAGACCAUCAAAUACAGAAUCAGAGGUCUCCCGGGUUCUGGUAGGACCAAUACAGGUGGAUUCGACAAAUACUCCUUGAUCUUAUCGAAGGCAUCCUCGCAUUCAUCAGUCCAUUUGACCGCAUCAUCCUUCUUUAACAGCUUAAAGAUGCGCUCACAAGUUGUUGUGAGCUGAGAAAUAAACCUGCUGAUGUAGUUCAGCCUCCCUAGCAGACUCAUCACCUCGGUCUUGUUCUCUGCAGUGGCAAUUCCUGGAUAACCUUGAUCUUUGACGUAUCAAAUUCAAUGCCCCGCCGAUUGACUAUGAAUCCCAACAAUUUCCCCGAUGGAAUACCAAAUAUGCACUUUGUAGGGUUGAGCUUAAGAUUGUACCUACAGAGCCUUUGGAAGAACUUUCUCAAAUCUUUGAUGUGGUCAGACUGCUUCCUGGACUUUAUGAUCACAUCAUCCACGUAAAUCUCAAUCUUCUUGUGUAUCAUGUCAUGGAAUAUGGUCAUAAUUCUCCUCAUGUAAGUUGCCCCAGCAUUUUUCAAACCAAAAGGCAUGACCCUGUAGCAAUAUGUUCACUAUAGCGUGAUGAAUGUCAUCUUUUCCGCAUCUUCCUCAUCCAUUAAAAUCUAAUGAUAGCCCGCAUAGUAAUCCACAAAAGACCCAAUCUCAUGCUUGGCACAAUUAUCAAUCAAAAUGUGGAUAUUUGGCAAUGGGAAGUUGUCCUUUGGACUUGCCUUGUUGAGAUCACAGUAAUCAACACACACUCUGGUCUUACCAUCCUUUUUUGGCACAGGCACAACAUUGGCUAACCAUGUGGGAUACCGCGUGACCCGAAUGACCUUUGCAUCAAGCUGCUUUGUGAUCUCUUCUUUAAUCUUCACACUCAUGUCAAUUUUGAAUUUUCUCAACUUUUGCUUGACGGGAGGGAAUGCUGGAUCAAUUGGCGAUUUAUGGACCACCAAAUCGGUACUUAAUCCUGGCAUGUCAUCAUACGACCAUGCAAAAAUAUCCUUAUACUCAAACAAUGGUUUAUUUCUUCCCUGAUUUGUGGUUCAAGAUGGACACUUAUCUUAGUUUCUUUGACAUUAUCUGGGUCUCCUAGAUUGAUUGCUUCCGUAUCAAUCAGAUUAGGCUUGGGUUUUUCUUCAAAAUAACUUAGUUCCUUACUAAUCUCUUCAAAGGCCUUAUCCUCAUCAUAUUCUGAUUCAUCAUCACACUCUAUUUCUUAGAUUAUUAUUUCAGAAUUAGAUUGACUUUUAAGACUAGGCCGAAGAUUCCUCAUGCAUGUCAUGUCAUUGAAACCAGAAUAAAAAGAAUUGUACAAAUAAGAAAAAGAAAAACAAAAAUAAAACUAUCAAGAAUGAUGGAAAAUGGAAAUUGCAUUUCAUUGAAAAUAAAGGAUAACAGGGUUUGUACAUCAACAAGCGAAAAAAUAAAAGUCUGGUUCACAACCCUGGAAUGUCCCAGAUAGAAAGGAAAACAAAACAAACUACCAAGACUCCUUUCGGGUAGGGAGAGAAGUAGCCUUCCAAUUGUUAAGCUUUGCAUUCGGCCCAACGAACUGCACGUCUGCUUGCUAGAACCUUCUCCAACCUCCACCAUGUUCACGUCAUCAACCAACAUCUGGACCCUUUUAAUUAACUCCUCAUCAAUGUCAACCACAGAACUUGGAACCGUCAUCACUAGACGUUUCCUGGCACCGGGCUUGACAAAAGACCUGGAGAGACGUGGAACAGGCUUUGGAAGUGCCCACGCCUUCUAUUUUAACCUUUUAGUCCUUUUCACAUCUGUCGUUGUAGGUUUGAAUCUAAGGCCGAACGUACCCAAAUUUUCAUGGAGGGACACAGGCUGUAUGCUACCCUAUAGAGAUGCACCUAGACCUUUACCGGGCAAGAAGCCAUUUUUCAACAUUUCAAAGGCCACCAUGUCUGAUGCGGAGGUUAUCUUUGGAGUUGGAACACAUUUCCCUUCUGGAACUUUCUCGAUCGGCACUGUUUCAAAAACUUUAUAGACCCAGCGCCCUUUGUCAUAUUCAACCUCAAUGAACGGGACAGAGCAUCACUGUGAGCACACAAAUUAUCUUUGCCAUGCAUGACGAUCUCCUGCCUAUCCCAUUAAAACUUGACCAUCUGGUGCAAAGUGGAUGGGACUGCUUUAGUAGCAUGAAUCCAAGGGCAACCUAACAACAAAUUGUAGGAGAUGGCCUCGUCCAGCACCUGGAACUCUAUGGUGAAUUCCACCGGUCCUAUUGUCAACUCAAGCACUAUAUCACUGACCGAGUCUUUUCCUCCACCAUCAAAACCUCGGAAGCAUAUGCUAUUUUUAUGAAUCCUCUCAUCAUCAACUUUCAACUUGUUCAGAGUAGAGAGUUGGCAUAUGUUUGCACUGGACCCAUUGUCAACUAAUACCCUGGUAACCACAGAAUCUUCACAUUUUACCGUAAGAUAGAGAGUUCUGCUGUGUUCAGUACCUUCUACAGGCAACUCAUCAUCAGAGAAUGUGACCAUAUUCACCUCAAAUAUUUUGUUGGCGAUUUUUCUAGAUGGUUCACUAAAAUUUUGUCGAGAACGUGAGCCUCGUUCAGAAUUUCCAUCAAGGACCGACGAUGCUCAUAUGAGUGGAUUAACAAUGACAACAAUAAAAUCUAAGCAGGCGUCUUUCUUAACUGCUCCAUGAUGGAAUAAUCUUGUACCUUCAUUUUCCGCAGAAACUCCUCCGCCUCUUCUUCAGUCACUGUUUUCUUCACUAGAACUGGGUUACAUCUAGAUAUUUUAGCUUUUCUUAACUCUUCCGGGCAAAGCAUAUCCCCGAACGAGUUAAUCUCUGGGCCUCAUUGACUUCUUAUUUCACUUCCUUUCCCUUAUAUGUCACUAUCACCCAUUCAUAGUUCCAUGGGAUGGCCUUGGUGCUGAUUACCGGCAACUGGGUUACAGGCUUGAUGAUGGCAAGAUCCGUACGGGCACCUUCCACAAUUAUGAUAGGCUUGUUGGCCACUCCUGGCACAACCCCUUUUGACUUUUAUUGCUUUGCUAUAACAUCACCUUGGGAUCCUUUCUUAGCUACUACAUAUGGCUUGCCGUUUGUCAUGCUCAACUUGUUCACUGAUCCUUCAAUUGUUGAUUUUUUAACUAGCUUGACCCCACUGGACCUAAUCAUCAUGACAGUCUGUGAAAGCUUCUUGGGCUCCCCUUCCUUAUGUACUAUCUCAAUCAUGUUUAUUUCCUGAUGGGUUGGCAGUGGGUUCUGGUUGAUGUUGGGUGCCUCUAGAGUUUAGACUUCAAUCCGGUUCAUGUCAAUGAGCUCCUGAAUAGCAUUUUUCAGGUGCCAGCACUUCUCCAUAUCAUGCCCCGGAGUACUAGAACAAUAUUCACAUCUCACAGAAUAAUCAAGAUUCUUUAGGAGAGGGUUUGGCAAAUUCGACUCAAUUGGCCUCAGCAUAUCCAAUUGCCUCAAUCUAUGGAAUAAACUACUAUAGGACUUUCCCAAUGGGGUGAAUGUUUUCUUCCUCUACAACCUCUCAUUUUUGAAUGUUGGAUUGGGUUGGAAACCUGGACCGGCAGGGUUUCGGUAGGCUCGUGGGGGUGGGUAAGCAUUUUGUAGAGUUGGGUAGGUGUUUUGUGGGGCUGGGGCACGCCAUUGUGCGUAGGCAGGAGGUUGAGUAUAUGUCUAGGCGUGGUGGACAGAAAUAUGAGGAUCUGGUGAUGAGAAGCAGUGUUGGGGGUGGACUAUAUGGGGUUUGGGCGUAGGUUCGAUGAUGGGGUCGAGGCUGGGUAUAUUGGUGACGGGCCUCUGGGUCUAAACCAUGAUCCUGAAUCAAUUUUCGCCACGUCUUCUUUAUUCUUCUUUCCAAUCACUCCCCUAGUACCAUUCUGAAUGGCUUGGGUAGUUGCCUUUAUAGCCGAGUAACUCACGAUUUUGCUUGAUUUAAGCCCUUCUUCCACCAUACCACCCAUUUUCACUACCUCAUUAAACGAUUUGCCUAUGGCCGAUAUCAGAUGGCGUAAGUAAGAGGGCUCCAAGGCCUGCAGAAAGUACUCCACUAUUUUGCUCUCCUCCAUCGGGGGUUAACUCUUGCCGCUUGUUCUCUCCAACGAAAACCAUAUUCUCUGAAAUGUUCACUAGGCUUCUUCUCAAUCUUAGUCAAAGACAAACGAUCUGGGACAAUCUCGAUUUUGUAUUGGAAAUGGCGAGAGAAUGCUUGGGCCAAAUCAUCCCAAGUAUACCAUGUGCUGUGAUCCUGAUGAGUGUACCACUCCAAUACCGAGCCACUCAAACUCUGGCUAAAGUAUGCCAUCAAUAGCUCAUCUUUCCUGCCUAUUCCUCUCAUUUUGCUACAGAAUCCCCUCAAGUGGGCCAUCAGGUCUCCGUGCCCAUCAUACAAAUCAAACUUCGGCAUCUUAAAUCCCACCGGCAACUGAACAUCAGGAAAUAGACACAAAUCUUUGUAGGCCACGCUCACCUGGCCUCCCAAUCCCUGCAUGUUUUUGAACGACUCUUCUAGGCUUCUAACCUUCCUGAGUAUCUCCUCCUGUUCUGGGUUUUUAGGUGGUUUCUUAGUCUCAACAGGGAGGUCGAAAUGAGGAGUGUAGGAGUAAGGUUCUGGGGCCUUGAAAGUAGGCUCCGGUGGAUAGUAUUGGUUAUCUUGGGUCUGACAUAAAGGCUCACUAAAGGAUCGGUGGAGUGUAGCGGGUAGGGGUGCCACGAAAACAGGGGUGUCUGGUGGAGGAUGGUAUGGAACUGGUUUGGGUGGUAGAGCUUGUGGUGUUUGGGAAGUGGUGCUCUGAUAGUGGUGGUAAAUGGGGAAGCCUGGAGAUGAAUCAAUAGUGGGAGGUUCUUAGGAUUGAGCUAGCGGCGGGACGAAAGUAGGGUUGGCGGAGUAGGAUGGUGAUGGGUGCCCUAUUACCCAUGCCUGGUACAUCUCUGCCAUCUAGUGUUUCAACUUACACAACUCCUCUUUCAGGUUAACAUCAGACUCCUCCCCUUCUCUUGAUGGGUCAAUAACACUUGCAUCCAGUUCUUGGUUAUCCAUGAUCAACUUGUCUUUGGACCUGGUGUUGUACGGAUGAGUUGGCAGAAUGCCAAACAAACUAACCACCUGCCUAGACUUGAUGACAACAAUAAACUUGUUAGAGAUUAUGGCUUAACAGAUAGGCAACCGCACGUUGGGGAUGCAAUGCACCUUAGCAGUUAACCAUUUCUAUUAUGCAUUUGGUCGGUUGCUUGCGUCAUCCCGGCUUUCCCUAAUUUUCAUUUUGCAACUUCUCCCUUUUUUUCAUUCCUGCUUUUCUUUGCUUGAUUCUUGUUUUUCUUUUAUUCCCUCAUUUUUCUCUCUUGUUUUGCUAUUGUUUCCCUCCCACAAUACUCUUGUUUUCUCUAUUUUGUUUUCUUUUUUUUUUCAUUUCAUGGUUAUGAUCGAAUCCUAUGGGGAUUUCCUACAUAUCAUGAUGUUGCAUGAAUCAGACCAAGCGUAGUUCUGGGGGAUAAGUGUAAAAAUAAAUAAAAAAACAUUUUGGGGUUUUCAAAUUUUCAUAAAAUAAAAAUGUCUUGAUUACAAUGACUCAUCCUACAAAAUUUAAUCAUAAAAACUAGCAGACUCGAAAAGGGGGACUAACAGGCUCCAACAGAUAGAUGAAAAAUACAGACUCGAAAACAGACUAACAAACUCCAAUAAAGAAAAUGAAAAUACAUGCUCGAAUGAAAAUCAUGAAUACAUCAAUGCCUCAACUGCUCAAGGGGCCCGUGGGACAUCAGUCGGUCUCGCCACAGGCCUAUGCACAAGAUCCCCUUGAAGACGCUCCAGGUCACUCAUUAUUUGAUAAACAAAGGUCAUUACCGCGGCAAAGAAGGUGGUUCUCGUCAUGUCUUCACAUUCAUGUCACUUCAUGACGAUGUAGUCACCAAUUGCUCUAACCCUCUCCCUGACGAUACCCUUUUCUUGGAGAAAACGCCCUAUUUGCCGAGUCCUAGCUUCUAGCACCUAGGCAUCAUGAUGGUUUUGACCCUGCAACUGUUCCAUGUCUUCCUCUAGCUGGGACAUUAAUGCAUAGCAAUGUUCCCUUUCUGAUUUAAAAUUCUUAGUUUGCUUGGCCAACUCAUUUUUUAGGGUAGUUAGCCUUUUCUUUAAAUUGGUGACUGUUCCCUCAUAUUUCCUUUUCAACCGCCGGACAAACUCUGCUCGUCCCUCUACGUUCUUUGCUAACUAUGCCCGGGCCCUCGCUAGAUUAUCCUCAGAUUUUUCCAGAUCAUCCUCACACUCAGCUAUUUUCCUUUUAAGACCACUUAUGAGUCUUUCAUCCUUUCGGCUCCUUUCUUGAUUCUCAGCAGGUAUUUUCAUUUUUUGGAUCUGUGCUCGAAGGGCUUUGUUUUCUUGAGCUAAUUCUUCUUUUCCCCUUCAUCAGCAGCGGACUGUACACUUGCUUACAAUUUGCUUAUGGUGGCUCUGUAGCUUGCCUCUUUUGCCAACCAAUCCCAUUGAUCCUGUACUUCGUCAGUGAAUUGUUGGACAUGGGGCCUUUUCGCGGGACGUUCGGACUCUAGAUGGACUUGGGACCUUUUAUUGUACCAAGUUGGGUAACUAGACUCCAACUCGCCUUUGGACAGAUCUCGUACCUGAGUGUUUGACUCUAAGAACCUACAUUGAUGCCAAAUCCGACGCACCCUUUCUUCUGGGAAAGCAACUUUUAGUUCCAAUUCGAUGACCUACUGACUCAAAUCCUCAUCAUGUGGGAUAGUCUGGUACCUGCCUAACUGGCGUAGAACUCUGUGUGGGGCAUAAGGCUGAAUGCUCCGGAGACCCAUCAAUAGAAGAAAACACAGCUCGGCCAACAUGUAAAUGACUUCACUGAUCGAGAGCCACCCGAAUGUCCAUUCAAUCUUGUUUGCAGUCAGGGAGCUCAAGUGUGCAAACCAUGCUUCUAUACCCUCCGGAAACUCAUAGCCCUCCACCCGUUGUUCAUGUUUUUCAAUGCAUUGAAGACCGGUCAUACCAAGGUUCAUGUACCCCGGGCAGUGACACAGGUGUUCCUACAUCCAGAGUUGUAGAAGCAUAUUGCAUCCCUAAAAAACUUUCUCCUUUUCGGCAAAGAGUCAGUGCUCGGUAGAUUUCCGCCAAGAUCAUCGGUACAAUGGUGUCAUUUGCCUUUUUAGUCAUGAAGUCGGCUAUCCCCACAAGCCCCAAUUCUAUGUUUCUAUCCUUUCUUGGGCAAAUCAAAACACCCAAGAAUGCCACUAUGAAAGCCAAUCCACGCCGAGUUUGUUCCCCGAAUGAGUAAGACCAGUAUCGGGCAUCUCAAAACCGCGAGGAUUCCCGUAACGUCGGUACAAGAAGUCGAAUGUGCAGAAUCCCUUGGCCAGAUUUCCGUCUUGAACUUCCCGACGGAUGCUUAGAAGGUCCAGAAAUAUAUGAGGAGUCACUGUUCUGGGUGACACCUGGUAUUGAUUUCUGAGAUUCCCACUAAAACCAGCGUAGCCCGCUAUUUCCUCUAGCGUAGGGGUUAGCUCAAAAUCAGCAAAAUGGAAUACAUUAUAUGCUGGGUCCCAGAAGGGUAUUAAAUCCUCAAUUAUAUCCUUCCUCGGCUUGAUCUUCAGAAGCCCAACAAGGCCACCCAAAGCUUUUAUCAUAGUUUUUCUGCUGACUUCUCCCGAAUCAUUCAACCAUAUAUGUAUUUCUAACGGGAUUUCCUCGCGGAAUGUGAAAGGUUUAUUUUCAAUUGUGCUCAACCUACACAUUUAUUUAAUGUGAUUGAUUAAAAUACUGUGGUUUACUUUUCCUCAAGAGAAAAGCACCAAUUUUCACAAAAUUUAAACAAAAACAUUUUUGCGCAUACAGCCUUUCAACACCUCAAGAAAGAAUUUUUUUUAGGAUUGUUUUUGUUAAUCAACCAAAAUUUUUGAAAAAGGACCCUAGGUGGAUAUUCUUGAAUAAAUAGCCUUCCGACACCCUUUUGGGCAUUUGGCUAUUCUGUACAAGAACGGCGUCACCUAAUUUAUUUAUGGCAAAAUAGCAACACUUCAUAUUUUUGGUUAUUUUCGCAAAAAGGAGUUGAACCCGAUGGGGGUUGCCUACGUAUCCCACAUCCGGUGAGAAUCAAACUUGCAUAGUUCGGGCGAUUUUGACGCAAUAGAAAACACAAACUUUUGAAAUAGCUUUUUCUUUUUUCCUUUUUCCCCCUUUUUCCGAAAAUUUCAGCAAAGUUUCGGGGUAUUUUGGACACUAGGUUUUUCCAUAGGUGGGUAAUUUCCUCUCAAUUUGGUUUUUCUCAAUUUUCUCCCUUAUUCUAGAAUUCGGUCAACAUGUAAUCCGAGUAAAAUAAAUGCGCAAGUAGCAAGUAAAAUGCAUCAGGAUGGUCUUUUGAUUUCGGGUGCACCUGUCCUAGACGGACCCAACCCCUGUGUUGAGUCACCAAAGUCAAAAUGCACAUGAUUCAAACUAGCGUUCCUACUAGGGAUCUGGAAUGAGGCUAUGUUAUACUAGGUUUAAAAAUCUAGGUUUAUUUGUUCUAGACCUGGCUUACCCGAGCGGACAACUUGAGCCAGGGAGCAGCGUACCAGGAAUACAGAAGCUUCACCGGCUUUGCAACUUGUUCGAACCUCGUUCUACAAUUGGGAUAUGACUCUAACAGAAAAGAAGUCACAUGAAGUGCACACUUCCUAGAUGAUUUAGAAGACUCAGAGAGAGGAGGGAUUGGUAACAAUUUAUUUACAGUUCAACCAUAUCAAAGCGAUAAAAAGCAAUAUUUAGCACAUUAGGCCCAAGUAAAACCCCAUAAUAAAUAAAGCCACAUAUAACAAUCAUUCUAAGGUCGAAUUCUUGAACCAUGAACUAGUGAUUCUAGGUUCAUGUCUCCAGCAGAGUCGCCAGAGCUAUAACACCUCCUUUUUACUACCCCCCCGGAGGGAGUAUAUAAGAGACUUUUUUCCAAUUUAAGUGACAAUCGAAAUGAGAUUUAUUUAUUUAUUCAGAGUCGACACUUGGGAUAAUUUAUGAUGUCCCAAGUCACCGUAUAAUUUAUUCACUAAUAUUGAACUAAUCAAAAUCCAAAAGUAGUGUUACUUAUCCAAAUUGAAUCUAUACUAUGACAGUGCAAACAUCCAAGGACUCGGUAGAAAUAGUUUAAACUAGGAUCGAACCAAAAUAACACAUGAAAGUCCAAAUAUAACCCAAUACAAAUUGUAAUGUCCAUGGCAUGAAUAAAUACAAUGAAUCAAGUAAUAGAACAAAAUUUAAUGUAGAACAAGGAUAAGUUUUCAAUAACACAACUUGAUAUUCAACUAACUAAGGUUUACAUCUCCAACAUGCUUC
rnacentral:lncRNA from 1 species